AGACAGGGCCGGUGGAAGAGGAGUACUGGAGCGAGGGAACAAGACAGGCCCGGUGGAGGAGGAGUACUGGAGCGAGGGAACGAGACAGGCCGGUGGAGGAGGAGUGCCGGAGCGAGGGAACGAGACCGGCCCGGUGGAGGAGGCGCGCCGGAGCGAGGGAACGAGACAGGCCCAGUGGAGGAGGAGUGCCGGAGCGAGGGAACGAGACAGGCCCGGUGGAGGAGGAGUGCCGGAGCGAGGGAACGAGACAGGCCCGGUGGAGGAGGAGUGCCGGAGCGAGGGAACGAGACAGGCCCGGUGGAGGAGGAGUGCCGGAGCGAGGGAACGAGACAGGCCCGGUGGAGGAGGAGUGCCGGAGCGAGGGAACGAGACAGGCCCAGGGGAGGAGGAGUGCCGGAGCGAGGGAACGAGACAGGCCCGGUGGAGGAGGAGUGCCGGAGCGAGGGAACGAGACAGGCCCGGUGGAGGAGGAGUGCCGGAGCGAGGGAACGAGACAGGCCC